UGUCAAUGAUGAAAUAUUUGCCUUGUCUCUACAGAGGUGUUGUCUUAAGAAUCUUGCAAAAUAGAGUUACGUUUAGGACC
rnacentral:snoRNA from 1 species